rnacentral:rRNA from 1 species
GACGAACGCUGGCGGCGUGCUUAACACAUGCCAGUCGAACGGAAAGGCUCCUGCUUGCAGGGGUACUCGAGUGGCGAACGGGUGAGUAACACGUCGGUGAUCUGCCUUGUACUCUGGGAUAAGCUUGGGAAACUGGGUCUAAUACCGGAUAAUAACUGCCUUUAGUGUGGUGGUUGGAAAGUUUUUUCGGUGCAAGAUGAGCUCGCGGCCUAUCAGCUUGUUGGUGGGGUAAUGGCCUACCAAGGCGUCGACGGGUAGCCGGCCUGAGAGGGUGUACGGCCACAUUGGGACUGAGAUACGGCCCAGACUCCUACGGGAGGCAGCAGUGGGGAAUAUUGCACAAUGGGCGGAAGCCUGAUGCAGCGACGCCGCGUGGGGGAUGACGGCCUUCGGGUUGUAAACUCCUUUCGACAGGGACGAAGCUUUUUGUGACGGUACCUGUAUAAGAAGCACCGGCUAACUACGUG